AGCGAACGCUGGCGGCAGGCCUAACACAUGCAAGUCGAACGAAGUCUUCGGACUUAGUGGCGGACGGGUGAGUAACACGUGGGAACGUACCUUUUGGUUCGGAACAACUCAGGGAAACUUGAGCUAAUACCGGAUGAGCCCUUAGGGGGAAAGAUUUAUCGCCGAAAGAGCGGCCCGCGUUAGAUUAGCUAGUUGGUGAGGUAAAGGCUCACCAAGGCUACGAUCUAUAGCUGGUCUGAGAGGAUGAUCAGCCACACUGGGACUGAGACACGGCCCAGAUUACUACGGGAGGCAGAAGUGGGGAAUUUUGCGCAAUGGGCGAAAGCCUGACGCAGCCAUGCCGCGUGAAUGAUGAAGGUCUUAGGAUUGUAAAAUUCUUUUACCAGGGACGAUAAUGACGGUACCUGGAGAAAAAGCCCCGGCUAACUUCGUGCCGGCCGCCGCGGUAAGAC
rnacentral:rRNA from 1 species